GCUCACAAAAAAUGGAGUAAUUGAUUGUUUGGACCAAAUUUUCUCGCAAGAAAAGGGAAAGAUAAGGAGGGAGAAUAUUAAAACGCUUCAAGAACUGGCGAAAAGGGCAACAGAACCAAAUGGGAGCUCUUCCAAGAACUUCAUUGCAUUAGCAGACUUAGUGACGAACAAUGGAAACUAUAAAAAUUAGUUGUUUUCCUACUAACGUUUCUGUAUUUGUCAUUUUAUUACCU
rnacentral:misc_RNA from 1 species